GCCAAGGAAGCGACCAACACGCGUUCGGCGAGCGCGCAUUGUAGUGAAUGUUAUCGUGUUGUUUUCGUUAUGUUCUCUCUUUUGUAAUUUCCAUGUUCUGUUUCUCCUGAAAUCUAGUCUGGAAUCAUCAAGUUUAAAUGUGCGUUUAGCAGUGUUCAGUAGGUAACCAAGCCUAGAUUUUGCUGUGGCACAAUAACUUGCCUGGCGUAAAAUGCCAAACUCAGGAGUCGCAGCUCUGAUAUGUGCAUUUGCAUUGUUCCUCAUCGUCAACUUUUCUCUGCACAAAAUUGACGAAGGUCAUGUUGGGGUUUAUUACCGGGGAGGCGCACUGCUUAAGCAAACUAGCCAUCCAGGAUUUCAUAUGAUGAUCCCGUUCAUUACCACUUAUCGAUCAAUUCAGGUAACUCUCCAAACAGAUGAAGUUAAAAAUGUGCCCUGCGGGACCAGUGGUGGGGUCAUGAUCUACUUCGACAGAAUUGAGGUUGUGAACAUCCUAAGCCCUGACAGUGUCUACGACAUGGUGAAGAACUACACUGCCGACUACGACAAGACACUGAUCUUUAAUAAGGUUCAUCAUGAACUAAAUCAGUUCUGCAGUGUCCACAACCUCCAGGAAGUCUACAUAAACUUGUUUGACCAGAUUGAUGAGAACUUGAAGACUGCCCUGCAGAGAGACCUCAAUGUGAUGGCACCUGGCCUAUUUGUGCAAGCAGUGCGAGUGACCAAGCCGAAAAUUCCCGAAACAAUCAGACGUAACUAUGAAAUGAUGGAAGCUGAAAAGACGAAGUUGCUUAUCGCAGAACAGAGACAGAAGGUUGUGGAGAAAGAUGCCGAAACUGACAGGAAAAAGGCCAUUAUUGAUGCUGAGAAAGUUGCUCAAGUGGCUAAGAUCCAAUACACUCAGAAGAUCUUGGAGCAGGAAUCCCUGAAAAAGAUGUCUCGUAUUGAAGAUGAAAUGCAUUAUUCUAGGCAAAAGAUGAAAGCAGAUGGAGAGUUCUACUCAAAGGAGAGACUUGCAGAGGCAAAUAGGUUGUUAUUAACCCCAGAGUAUUUGGAACUCAAACGCUAUGAAGCAAUUUCUUCUAACAACAAGAUCUAUUUUGGCAAAGACAUUCCAAGUAUGUUCAUCAAUCAUUGCUCACGGCAAUCUGAAGAUGAUGGUACUGCCUUGGAUAGCAUCACUGCAUCUCUGGCAGGCAAAGGAGCCAAGGGUACUGAACAGGCUACAAAUGCAAAGUCAAUGAAGAAACUAGUGCCUGAUUAAGGGUACUGAACAGGCUACAAAUGCGAUGAAUAAACUAGUGUCUGAUCAAGAUAGCACUGCUGCAAAGUUCUACAAGCAAGGCUACUGAUUGCCAUUGCUUUCUGUUUGUCAGUGCUCAAGGGAGGACCAUGAUGGAUUCAUUGGGAUGCUUCAAUGGACCUGUGUGUUUACAUUGUUUCUAUCAUGUUAAUAAAUGAUUGCUAUAUUUGUACUUUGGUAA